AGAGAGAGAGAGAGACAGUAGAGAGAGAGAGACAAGAGAGAGAGAGACACAGUAGAGAGAGAGAGGAAGAGAGAGAGAGAGAGACAGUAGAGAGAGACACACAGUAGAGAGAGACACAGUAGAGAGAGAGAGGAAGAGAGAGAGAGAGACAGUAGAGAGAGACACACAGUAGAGAGAGACACACAGUAGAGAGAGAGAGACAGUAGAGAGAGAGAGAGAGACAGUAGAGAGAGACACAGUAGAGAGAGAGAGGAAGAGAGAGAGAGAGAGACAGUAGAGAGAGACACACAGUAGAGAGAGACACACAGUAGAGAGAGACACACAGUAGAGAGAGAGAGACACACAGUAGAGAGAGACACACAGUAGAGAGAGAGAGGAAGAGAGAGAGAGAGAGACAGUAGAGAGAGAGAGGAAGAGAGAGAGAGAGAGACAGUAGAGAGAGACACACAGUAGAGAGAGACACACAGUAGAGAGAGAGAGAGACACACAGUAGAGAGAGACACACAGUAGAGAGAGACACACAGUAGAGAGAGACACACAGUAGAGAGAGAGAGAGACACACAGUAGAGAGAGACACACAGUAGAGAGAGACACACAGUAGAGAGAGAGAGAAGAGAGAGAGAGAGAGAGUAGAGUAGAGAGAGAGAGGAAGAGAGAGAGAGAGACAGUAGAGAGAGAGAGAGAGACACACAGUAGAGAGAGACACAGUAGAGAGAGAGAGGAAGAGAGGGGUGGGAUAGAGAGAGGGGAAGAGAGAGGGAGGGAGGGAGCAGAAGAAAGGGGGAGUGCUGCUGUUAUGAAUCUCUGAUUCGGUAGUAUUGGAAAUCAAUGUCAAUAUCAGGCCAAUAAAGCGUUGGGACAUUGAUAUUGAGGGUGUCAGUCUUUUCAGUCAGGCAGUGGGGCUGGCUACUCUUGGGUCCUCUUUACUCCGAUGGCGUAUCAUAUAGGCUGCUGCCGACAACGCUAGGACACCAUAGGUAGCCAGGACAAA
ensembl:lncRNA